AAAGCAAUUGCUUAACGAUUGUAUGCAUUGGAAACUUCUAGUCUAGAGUUUGGUAGAGAGUCCUGGAACUCCAUGUGGAGCGGUGAAAUGCGUAGAUAUAUGGAAGAACACCAGAGGCGAAGGCGAGGACUUGGGCCAAUACUGACGCUUAGGCUUGAAAGUGUGGGGAGCAAAUAGGAUUAGAUACCCUAGUAGUCCACACUGUAAACGAUGGAUGUUAAGUGUCGGAGCGAAUACUUCGGUGCUGCAGUUAACACAUUAAACAUCCUGCCUGAGUAGUACAUUCGCAAGAAUGAAACUCAAACGGAAUUGACGGGGACCCGCWCAAGUGGUGGAGCAUGUUGCUUAAUUCGACGGUACACGAAAAACCUUACCUAGACUUGACAUCUUGGGCGAAGCUAUAGAAAUAUAGUGGAGGUCAACCCAAUGACAGGUGGUGCAUGGUUGUCGUCAGCUCGUGUCGUGAGAUGUUGGGUUAAGUCCCGCAACGAGCGCAACCCUUAUCGUUAGUUACUUUGUCUAACGAGACUGCCAACGUAAGUUGGAGGAAGGUGGGGAUGACGUCAAAUCAUCAUGCCCCUUAUGUCUAGGGCUGCAAACGUGCUACAAUGGCCAAUACAAACAGUUGCAAAUCCGUAAGGUGGAGCUAAUCUGUAAAGUUGGUCUCAGUUCGGAUUGAGGGCUGCAAUUCGCCCUCAUGAAGUCGGAAUCACUAGUAAUCGCGAAUCAGCCAUGUCGCGGUGAAUACGUUCUCGGGUCUUGUACACACCGCCCGUCAAACUAUGA
rnacentral:rRNA from 1 species